AUGAACCCCUCCGGCCCCGCACGGCCCGCUCACCCCGCCCCCUCCGGCCCCCUCCCCUCCCCUCCUCCUCUGCUCCCCAGCCUGCCCCUCCGCCGAGCCCGGGCCGGCGCCGGGGGCAUUGUUUUUGGAGUCUUGCGGGAGGGGAGGGCGCGUGCAGGGUGGCCGGCGCAGUGCGGGUGGGGGCGAGAGCGUGUGGGCGCGCGCGCGCGGGUGCCGGCGCGGGCGCGGGCGCGGGCGGGGGGCGGGGGGCGGGGGCGGCGCCUCGCAGCCUCGCACCCCACGCCCGGGCUCCGCUCCGCACGUCCCGGGAAUCCCGGGCUCCGGCUCUUGGCGCGCGCCGGCCUGGGCCGGGCCCUGGGCGCGCCGCGGCUGCGGCUGUGGCCGCUCCGAAGUGCGCGCGAGAGCGUGUGCGCGGCCCCGAGAGUUCGCGCGCGCGAGCCCCCAGUGUGUGGCAGCGGCGGCGGCGGCGGCGGCGGCAGCGGCGCGGCGAGGCUGAGGCUCUUGUUUACCAGCAUUAACUCCGCUGAGCGGAAAAAAAAAAAAAAAAAAAAAAAAAAAGAAAAAAAAAAAGAAAAAACCCGAGGAGGAGCGAGCGCACCAGGCGAACUCGAGAGAGGCGAGCGAGCGAGAGGGACGCCGCCAGCUCGCCUGCCCCCGGCGCGCCCGUGCCCAGCGCUUGCAGACCCUCGGCCCCGCUCCCGGGCCCGGGCCCUCCACGCCCCUCCCGCGCGAGGGGAGCUGCACGGCGCGUGGCGCGCCUCGGCUUUGACCUUCAGCGAGCCGGAGCCCCCGCGCGCGGAGCCGGCGGCAGCGGGGGCCGGGCGGGCGGCGGCGGGCGGCGGCGGGGGCCGGCGGGGGCCGGGCGGGGGCCGGGCGGGGGCCGGCGCGGAGCCCGGGCGGCGCGGCGGGAGUGCUGAGCGCGGCGCGGCCGGCCCGCCGCUUUGUGUGUGUUCUGGAUUUGGGAAGGAGCUCGCGGCGGCGGCGGCGGCGGCGGCGGCGGCGGCGCUGAGGGAGGAGGCGGCGGCGAGCGGAGGAGGAGGGGAGCCGCUCAUUCAUUUUUACUCCGCAUUUCUGCCCCCGGCCGGCCUCGCCCGCGACCCGGACUUCGGGGCGGUCUCGCCAACUGCGUCGCGCCCUCCCGCCGCGGAGGCUCGGCUGUCGGACGGCCACCCCUCCGCCUGGGGUCGGGUUUGUUUUUCUCCGCCGAGACGAAUUUGGGCUUUGCCCCCUUUCCGUGCAGUUUCCCCCCCUCCUGCCUCUCUGGGUUUGAAAAUGGAGGCCGACGACGCCGACAGCCCGCCCCGGAGCGCCUCGGGUUCCCGACUCCGCCGAGCCCUGGGCCGAGGCUGCCGGCGCUGA
rnacentral:lncRNA from 1 species